GAUGAACGCUGGCGGCGUGCCUAAUACAUGCAAGUCGAGCGAACAGACGAGGAGCUUGCUCCUCUGACGAUAGCGGCGGACGGGUGAGUAACACGUGGAUAACCUACCUAUAAGACUGGGAUAACUUCGGGAAACCGGAGCUCAUACCGGAUAAUAUAUUGAACCGCAUGGUUCAAUAGUGAAAGACGGUUUUGCUGGCACUUAUAGAUGGUUCCGCGCGGCAUUAGCUAGUUGGUAAGGUAACGGCUUACCAAGGCAACGAGGCGUAGCCGACCUGAGAGGGUGUUCGGCCGCACUGGAACUGAUACACGUUCCAGACUCCUACGGUAGGGAGCAGUAGGGAACCUUCCGCAAUGGCCGGAAACCUGGCAGAGCAACGCGGCGUGGGUGAUGAAGGUCUUGGGAUCGUAAAACUCUGUUAUUAGGGAAGAACAAAUGUGUAAGUAACUAUGCACGUCUUGACGGUACCUAAUCAGAAAGCCCCGGCUAACUACGUG
rnacentral:rRNA from 1 species